rnacentral:lncRNA from 1 species
AAUCAGCACCCAUCUUUGAGUCAGAGUUUGAGAUGCAAAUCCUUUACAUUCCAGAUACCUAAUCACAGCUCAAUCGAUGCUGGUGUCUUUUUCCUUUUUCCUUCUGCAGAAAACAUGCUUUACAUAGGAUCUCUGAACUUAAAGAAUGGGGAAGAAGAAAAAUCAUGUUUCCAGCUUGGGCUGCUGUUUCAUCUGUUGGACUUGCUUGUAUGGGUUUGUUUACCCUUCCUGCAGGCAUCCAACCUGGCCUUUUAUUCCUGCUCAAGUAGGACAUGCAGCCUGCUGGGGACCCGUGGCUCAAAUCCUCCAUCUGCAGGACUGCCGGCCCUGGGACUCAUGAAUAAUGGAAGUGCAGUAACCACUCCUUACAGCCCAGACGACUUUCUAGGAGCAGGCUGUACCCCGAAAGUAAACAAGGAACAAGGGGCAAGGAGACAGAGAGAGAUGGGGAAAUGUAAAUGUCAGCAUUCUUUCCUGACUUAUUAAUUUGAUUUCUGUCCUCCCCUCAUGGAAGUUAAUUAAAGGAAUGCGAGAACCUUUUAGAAAAUCUCCAGGGCAGCUUCUGUGUUGAUCAUUGUU